AAAGUUCCUGAUUUUCGUGUUUUAAGGGAUAUAAUGAUUUGGUGUUGUUUAUCUCAAACAGCGGGCUUGCAGAUGUUUAAAUGAUGGAGAGGUUCGCAAAGCUGUUACUCGGAGGAGACAUGUCUGGAUGAGGGAAAGGUGUCUACACUGCCCUUGCUAUCUCAAAUGCCAUCACCAAUCUCUCUGUGUUUUCAGGCAUUGAAGCUAAAUAUGGAGAGGGUUUUGAGACUUUUAGACCUAUUGGACCUCUCAAGGUUUGCGUGGAUUUGUUGAACGACAAACUGCAAGGAGGUUUUCUUAAACGAAUAUGAUAUGCUAUGAAACCGAAUGAAGCUUACGGUCUUCUAUUCUCUUUUGUUAAUUUCGUGGUAAGUUUCUAUAACACUGAUUAGUUAUGUCUUCGAGGUUCUAAUGGCUAGAAACGCUAAUGUAAUGAACUAUGGAAUAUUGUAAUAGUUUAUGGUCAAUGUGAUCCCAUAUCUGUUUGAUU